CCUUGGUUUUGUUAUGAUUUUUUUUGUCUUUUUAACAAAGAAUUAUGUUGUCUAUCUAUUCCUGAUGAAAUUGACAACAUAAGUAAAGCUAUCUGUUUGGAGAGGUAAUUCCUUAGUGAUACAGUUUCUAAAGUCACAGGCUCAAUCUUUGAAGGCCUGUUAUAAAUGAAGCAGUAUAGUUAUGAAACAUUAUAAAAUUCCAAACCUGCAAAAUUGUCUUUUGGUUGCAUGUUGAAUUGUGCGUGUAGAUGUUAUUGCAGAUAUAUCCAAGCCUGAUAGUGUUUUAGUAGCAACUGUUGCUACCACUAAAGAGCUUUUUAAUGCUGAGAAACCU
rnacentral:lncRNA from 1 species